rnacentral:rRNA from 1 species
AGAGUUUGAUCAUGGCUCAGGAUGAUCGCUAGCGGGAGGCUUAACACAUGCAAGUCGAGGGGCAGCAUAGGGUAGCAAUACUCUGAUGGCGACCCGGCAAACGGGUGAGUAACGCGUAUGUAACCUACCCUGUACAGGGGGAUAACCCGGAGAAAUUCGGACUAAUAUCCCAUAACAAUAUCCGGGGGCAUCUUUGGAUAUUUAAAGUUCCGGCGGUACGGGAUGGGCAUGCGUAACAUUAGCUAGUUGGUAAGGUAACGGCUUACCAAGGCUUUGAUGUUUAGGGGUCCUGAGAGGGUGGUCCCCCACACUGGUACUGAGACACGGACCAGACUCCUACGGGAGGCAGCAGUGAGGAAUAUUGGUCAAUGGGCGCAAGCCUGAACCAGCCAUCCCGCGUGCAGGAAGACGGCGCUAUGCGUUGUAAACUGCUUUUCCAGGGAGAGAAACUUGCGCACGUGUUGCGCAAUUGACGGUACCCUGGGAAUAAGCAUCGGCUAACUCCGUGCCAGCAGCCGCGGUAAUACGGAGGAUGCGAGCGUUAUCCGGAUUCAUUGGGUUUAAAGGGUGCGUAGGCGGACUAUUAAGUCAGUGGUGAAAUCCUGCAGCCUAACUGCAGAACUGCCAUUGAUACUGAUAGCCUUGAGUUUGGUUAAGGUAGGCGGAAUGUGUAAUGUAGCGGUGAAAUGCUUAGAUAUUACACAGAACACCAAUUGCGUAGGCAGCUUACUGAACCGACACUGACGCUGAGGCACGAAAGCGUGGGGAUCGAACAGGAUUAGAUACCCUGGUAGUCCACGCCGUAAACGAUGAUUACUCGCUGUUGGCGAUACACUGUCAGCGGCUAAGCAAAAGCAAUAAGUAAUCCACCUGGGGAGUACGGCCGCAAGGUUGAAACUCAAAGGAAUUGACGG